CCUACGGGAGGCAGCAGUGGGGAAUAUUGGGCAAUGGGCGCAAGCCUGACCCAGCAACGCCGCGUGAAGGAAGAAGGCUCUCGGGUUGUAAACUUCUUUUCUUAGGGACGUAGAAAGUGACGGUACUUGAGUAAUAAGCCACGGCUAACUACGUGCCAGCAGCCGCGGUAAUACGGAGGAGGCAAGCGUUAUCCGGAUUUACUGGGUGUAAGGGGCGUGUAGGCGGGAAAGCAAGUCAGAUGUGAAAACCAUGGGCUCAACCUGUGAUCUGCAUUUGAAACUGUAUUUCUUGAGUACAGGAGAGGCAGACGGAAUUCGUGGUGUAGCGGUGAAAUGCGUAGAUAUGAGGAAGAACACCGAUGGCGAAGGCAGUCUACUGGACAGCAACUGACACUGAGGCGCGAAAGCGUGGGGAGCAAACAGGAUUAGAUACCCGGGUAGUC
rnacentral:rRNA from 1 species